GGGCCUGUAGCUCAGCGUGGAUAGAGCACCGGCCUCCGGAGCCGGAGAUCCCGGGUUCAAAUCCCGGCAGGCCCG
rnacentral:tRNA from 1 species